UUAAAGUUUUAUUCUUGCUUUGUGUUAUAUUUAUAUAUUUUGUAAAUGCGGAUAAUACGUAGAUCAUUUUUCUGGCAUUAUUUAAUAUUAUUUAAAUAAUUUUUAAUGUAAUAGAAAUAUAUUUUAUGAAUAGUGAAGAUUGUGCCAGCAUCUGCGGUUAUACAAUCAUUUUUAUAUAACAAUAUUAAAAUUUUAAUUUUUUGAUUUUUAUUUUUGUUAAAUUUAUAAUUUUAGGUAAAAUUAAUUUAUACAGUUAAGGAAUUUAUUUUAUUUAUUUAAAGAAAUUAAUUUAAUAAACUAGGAUUAGAUACCCUAUUAUAAUUAAUGUAAUUAAAGUUUUGAGUAGUAUAUGAUUUGGACAGGAAACUUAAAGAAUUUGGCGGUGUAUAUUCUGAUUAGAGGAAUAUGAUUUUUAAUUGAUAACCCACAAUUAUCUUACUUAAAUUUAUUUAUUUUGUAUACCUCCGUCUUAAAAAGAUUUUUUAAAAUAUUUUUUUUGUUUUAUAGGUUGAAAAAAGUCAGGUCAAGGUGCAGAUUAUGUUUAAGUUAAAUUGUAUUACAAUAAAUGUAUUUUUGGAUCUUUAUCAAAUAAAUAAAGUUAAAUUGGAUUUAUAAGUAAAUAAUCUUUAUAAUAGUUUAUUGAAUUAUGUUAAUAUACAUGUACAUAUUGCCCGUCAUUCUCUUUCUAUUUAGAGACAAGUCGAAACAAAGUAGAUUUACUGGAAAGUGUAUCUGGAUUA
rnacentral:ncRNA from 1 species